rnacentral:rRNA from 1 species
AACGAACGCUGGCGGCGUGCCUAAUACAUGCAAGUCGAACGGGGGGGCGGAUGGGUGAGAAACGCGUGGGGAACCUGGCCUUAAGUCGGGGAUAGUAUUUGGAAACAGAUGACAAUACAGGAUACUAAAGGAGGGACCUGGGAUGCAUUAGCUAGUUGGUAAGGUACCGGCUUACAAAGGCGAUGAUGCAUAGCCGAGCUGAGAGGCUGAUCGGCCACACUGGGACUGUGACACGGCCCAAACUCCUACGGGAGGCAGCAGUAGGGAAUCUUCCACAAUGGGCGCAAGCCUGAUGCAGCCAUGCCGCGUGUAUGAAGAAGGCCUUCGGGUUGUAAAGUACUUUCAGCGGGGAGGCGUUACCCGCAGAAGAAGCACCGGCUAACUCCGUGCCAGCAGCCGCGGUAAUUC